rnacentral:rRNA from 1 species
GUCGAACGCUGGCGGCGUGCCUAAUACAUGCAAGUCGAACGCAGUGGGGACGGGUGAGUAACACGUGGGUAACCUCCCAUCAGAGGAGAUAACACUUGGAAACAGGUGCUAACCCGCUACUUAUAUAUGGAUCCGCGCUGCAUUAGCUAGUUGGUAAGGUAACGGCUUACCAAGGCAACGAUGCAUAGCCGGUCUGAGAGGGUGACCGGCCACACUGGAACUGAGACACGGCCCAGACUCCUACGGGAGGCAGCAGUGGGGAAUAUUGGGCAAUGGACGAAAGUCUGACCGAGCAACGCCGCGUGUGUGAAGAAGGUUUUCGGAUCGUAAAGCUCUUUUGUCAGAGAAGCGGUAUCUACCCAGAAAGCCACGGCUAACUACGUGCCAGCAGCCGCGGUAAUUC